GACGAACGCUGGCGGCGUGGAUAAGACAUGCAAGUCGAACGGGAGUUUAUUUAUAGCAAUAUGAGUGAACUCUAGUGGCGAAAGGGUGCGUAACACGUAGCUACCUACCUCGAAGUUGGGGAUAGCUCGGCGAAAGCCGGAUUAAUACCGAAUGUGAUCGUGAGAUCAAAGCUGGGGAUCGUAAGACCUGGCGCUUUGAGAUGGGGCUGCGGCCUAUCAGGUAGUUGGCGGGGUAAUGGCCCACCAAGCCUAAGACGGGUAGCUGGUCUGAGAGGACGACCAGCCACACUGGAACUGAGACACGGUCCAGACACCUACGGGUGGCAGCAGUCGAGGAUUUUUCUCAAUAGGGGAAACCCUGAAGGAGCGACGCCGCGUGAGGGAUGAAGGUCUUC
rnacentral:rRNA from 1 species